GGCUACAAGUCAGGAGUAGCAUUCUGGCCCCCCGCAUAAAGUAGGGCAGGGCAUACCAAAAGUGCUCCAUCAGAUAAUUUGGUUUUGCAACUCACAGGAUCUUGUUUUUAGCUCGGUCAAUUCAAAGUUCGGGUCAUUUGUGUGCAUUCUGUGUGUCUCACUGGAAAGCCUGCAUGACAAGUGAAUGAUCCCUGCUAAUUUAGGUCGUAGGGCAUGUCAGGCGGGGACCUAAUACGCUGGCUGGGGCAGAGCACCCUCCGGAAUGAAAGGCACCUUGUUCUGCUUCCAGUGUCAGACAUCCCAUUUGUCAAUACAGCUUACAUUCAACCUACCGCCCUGGACUUUCUACUGCCCACAGCCCCAUGAUCGGUUCCGGGAUGGUUGCAAACCAGGGUCGAAAUCUCCAAUACCUGUGGGUACUAUUUUGGCCUACACAUGCCAGCUCCUGCCCAGUGCUUUGCCCAUCUCAUCUCCAAUCCUCACAGCCACCCUGCCUGGAAAUGUGGGUACUACUAUCCCCCUUUUGCUAACAAGAAAACAGAGGCUAGAAGAGGCAAAGUUCCUUCCCCACGGUCACACUCCCUAAAAAGCAAAGGUUUCAGGAUUCAAUCUCAGGCAUCCGAAUCUCCAUGUUCUCGCCUGCCAUGUGUCUAAGAGGAGAGCCCCUGUCCCUUUUGGCACCUGCAAGACUAAUCUUAGUGCCUGAGGAGAUGGGGCUGUUUCUCCCUCCGUGGGAAGGGCAUGCCCGGAGCCUGCCCCAUGGCAGACGCAGGAGACAGAGACUCAGCACGUCUGGGGUUGUGGGCAGGGCUAUGACUCAGCCUGCCCCGGGAGAACCACGGGCUUGGAGGAGACGGUAGCAACCCAUCAUCCUAAAGGAGACAGAGCACAAAGAGCAGGACAGAAACCAAACAAACUGGCACAAGGGCACCUGAACGCACAGCUGGGGAAAAGCUCGGGCAGAUAAUCGGCGAAUCCAAUUUCCAGCCGGCUCUGCAGUGCAUGCGUCAGCCACCAGCAUUUUCCAUCAGGACUUCAACAUCUCUGGGAGCCCAGAUUUUUGAGCAAGUGUUUUCACAAGAAGAGGAAGAGACCCAAGGGGCAUGGUCACAGAGGAAAGAUGGCAAGAAGGUGGCCUUCUACAGCCAAGGAGAGAGGCCUCAGAAGAAAUUAAUCGUGCCUGCACCUUGAUCUUGGAUUUCCAGCCUGUAGAACUGUGAGGAAAUACAUGUCUGUUGUUUAAGCUA